UGGCGAACGGGUGAGGAACACGUAAGUAAUCUACCUUAAUCACGAGGAUAACUCUGGGAAACUGGAGCUAAUACUGGAUAGGAUAUAUUGUCACAAGGCGAUAUAUUUAAAGUAGCUUUCGGGCUACGGUUUAAGAGGAACUUGCGUCGCAUUAGAUAGUUGGUGAGGUAACGGCUCACCAAGUCAACGAUGCGUAGCUGGGCUGAGAGGCCGAACAGCCACACUGGGACUGAGACACGGCCCAGACUCC
rnacentral:rRNA from 1 species